rnacentral:rRNA from 1 species
CAAUAGCGUAUAUUUAAGUUGUUGCAGUUAAAAAGCUCGUAGUUGGAUUUCGGAUGGGACUUGCCGGUCCGUCGUUUCGAUGUGAACUGGCCAGUCCUAUCUUGUUGUCGGGGACUAGCUCCUGGGCUUCACUGUCCGGGACUAGGAGCUGACGAGGUUACUUUGAGUAAAUUAGAGUGUUCAAAGCAAGCCUACGCUCUGAAUACAUUAGCAUGGAAUAACACGAUAGGACUCUGGCUUAUCUUGUUGGUCUGUGAGACCAGAGUAAUGAUUAAGAGGGACAGUCGGGGGCAUUCGUAUUUCAUUGUCAGAGGUGAAAUUCUUGGAUUUAUGAAAGACGAACUUCUGCGAAAGCAUUUGUCAAGGAUGUUUUCAUUAA